CCUACGGGAGGCAGCAGUGAGGAAUAUUGGUCAAUGGACGAGAGUCUGAACCAGCCAAGUAGCGUGAAGGAUGACUGCCCUAUGGGUUGUAAACUUCUUUUAUAUGGGAAUAAAACGUUCCACGUGUGGGAUUUUGUAUGUACCAUAUGAAUAAGGAUCGGCUAACUCCGUGCCAACAGCCGACGUAAUACGGAGGAUCCGAGAGUUAUCCGGAUUUAUUGGGUUUAAAGGGAGCGUAGGUGGAUUGGUAAGUUAGUUGUGAAAGUUUGCGGCUCAACCGUAAAAUUGCAGUUGAAACUGGCAGUCUUGAGUACAGGAGAGGUGGGCGGAAUUCGUGGUGUAGCGGUGAAAUGCUUAGAUAUCACGAAGAACUCCGAUUGCGAAGGCAGUUCACUGGACUGCAGCUGACACUGAGGCUCGAAAGUGUGGGUAUCAAACAGGAUUAGAUACCCCUGUAGUC
rnacentral:rRNA from 1 species